rnacentral:rRNA from 1 species
CUGGCUCAGGAUGAACGCUGGCGGCGUGCCUAAUACAUGCAAGUCGAGCGAGAACUUGAUGAUGGAAGAUUCGUCUGAAAGAUUCAAGGGAAAGCGGCGGACGGGUGAGUAACGCGUAGGCAACCUGCCCUUAGCAGAGGGAUAGCCAUUGGAAACGAUGAUUAAAACCUCAUAACGCUUGAGAGACACAUGUCUUUCGAGCCAAAGAUUUAUCGGCUAAGGAUGGGCCUGCGUCUGGUUAACUGGUUGGUGAGGUAACGGCUCACCAAGGUGACGAUCAGUAGCCGACCUGAGAGGGUGAUCGGCCACAUUGGAACUGAGACACGGUCCAAACUUCUACGGAAGGCAGCAGUAAGGAAUCUUGCACAAUGGGGGGAAACCCUGAUGCAGCAACGCCGCGUGAACGAAGAAGGCCUUCGGGUUGUAAAGUUCUGAUCUUGGGGAAGAAGGAAGUGACGGUACCCAAGGAGAAAGCCCCGGCUAACUACGUGCCAGCCGCCGC